rnacentral:rRNA from 1 species
GCAAAACGCGAAGAACCUUACCCACCUUUGACAUGUACGGAAUCCUUUAGAGAUAGAGGAGUGCUCGAAAGAGAGCCGUAACACAGGUGCUGCAUGGCUGUCGUCAGCUCGUGUCGUGAGAUGUUGGGUUAAGUCCCGCAACGAGCGCAACCCUUGCCAUUAGUUGCUACAUUUAGUUGAGCACUCUAAUGGGACUGCCGGUGACGAACCGGAGGAAGGUGGGGAUGACGUCAAGUCCUCAUGGCCCUUAUAGGUGGGGCUACACACGUCAUACAAUGGCUGGUACAAAGGGUUGCCAACCCGCGAGGGGGAGCUAAUCCCAUAAAGCCAGUCGUAGUCCGGAUCGCAGUCUGCAACUCGACUGCGUGAAGUCGGAAUCGCUAGUAAUCGUGGAUCAGAAUGUCACGGUGAAUACGUUCCCGGGUCUUGUACACACCG